UUUGAUGUUUGGUCGGUAUUGUACAAACGAUUGUGAACCUGAAAACGUUCAACGCGUUUUCUGUUUGAACCCCACGCCGUUUCUGGUUCGGUCUUCUUUAUUUCUGUUUUCAGACACACGUGCUUUAAAAAGGUGGUCUUCUUUGUUUAUUCGAUUCUCACUUUGAGAAACGUGAAUAAUUUGAAUAUACUAAAAUGUCGUCGUUUUGUUCUUGUAGAUGUAGGCCAAAGAAAGUAUGAAACCGUUAACAGCAAGAAACGUAAUCAGACAACACUUGUUUGGUUAAUUAAUUGGGAUUCCUUUUGUCCGUUUGCAGUUUUGUUUUGGUGGAUGGUCACUUGAUGGAGCUGUGGGUAGGGUAGGUUUGGGUCAAUUAUUCAGUUUAGUAUAUU
rnacentral:lncRNA from 1 species